rnacentral:rRNA from 1 species
UACUAGGAGCUCAAGCGUUGUUCGGAUUCAUUGGGCGUAAAGGGUGCGUAGGCGGCGCGGUAAGUCGGGUGUGAAAUCUCGGAGCUUAACUCCGAAACUGCAUUCGAUACUGCCGUGCUUGAGGACUGGAGAGGAGACUGGAAUUUACGGUGUAGCGGUGAAAUGCGUAGAUAUCGUAAGGAAGACCAGUGGCGAAGGCGGGUCUCUGGACAGUUCCUGACGCUGAGGCACGAAGGUCAGGGGAGCAAACGGG